AUUGAACGCUGGCGGCAUGCCUAACACAUGCAAGUCGAACGAGUGGCGGACGGGUGAUAAAUGUCUGGGAACCUGCCUGAUGGAGGGCGAUAACUACUCGAAACGGUAGCCAAUACCGCAUACCAUCGGAUGUGCCCAGAUGGGAUUAGCUUGUUGGUGGGGUAACGGCGCACCAAGGCGACGAUCCCUAGCUGGUCUGCGAGGAUGACCAGCCACACUGGAACUGAGACACGGUCCAGACUCCUACGGGAGGCAGCAGUGGGGAAUAUUGCACAAUGGGCGCAAUCCUGAUGCAGCCAUGCCGCGUGUAUGAAGAAGGCCUUCGGGUUGUAAAGUACUUUCAGCGGGGAGGCGUUACCCGCAGAAGAAGCACCGGCUAACUCCGUGCCAGCAGCCGCGGUAAUUC
rnacentral:rRNA from 1 species